rnacentral:misc_RNA from 1 species
GUUUGAGACAUCUGUACUCGGCUGAAUAACUGGGACAUAAGCAGCUGAAGACACAGGUGUUUGAUACGAGGGAUUGGUGACAUACUGUUGGGUUCCAACAUAUGGGACGUCAAGUCCUAUGGCAGCACCAGGUAUGUAAGGAUUGUAAGGAUUGUACGGAGACUGUGUAUAUCCAUAGCUAGGUGUAUAAUAUACAUAGGAUGAACUUUCAGUUUGCAAACCCGAGUAACGAGGAUCCUGACCAUCUGCACCAAAGAAAC